rnacentral:tRNA from 1 species
UAGCUCAGUGAUAGAGUACUUGCCUCGCAUGUAUGAGGUUGUGGGUUACAUUCCCAC